AGCGGGAUUGAAGCUUGCUUCAAUUGCCGGCGACCGGCGCACGGGUGAGUAACGCGUAUCCAACCUUCCGUACACUCAGGGAUAGCCUUUCGAAAGAAAGAUUAAUACCUGAUGGUAUCUUAAGCACACAUGUAAUUAAGAUUAAAGAUUCAUCGCUGAUAGAUAGGCAUGCGUUCCAUUAGGUAGUAGGCGGGGUAACGGCCCACCUAGCCUGCGAUGGAUAGGGGUUCUGAGAGGAAGGUCCCCACAUUGGAACUGAGACACGGUCCAAACUCC
rnacentral:rRNA from 1 species